rnacentral:tRNA from 1 species
UGGGAUGUACCUCAAACGGUACAGUGCUCGCUUUGCAUGCGAGAGGUAUGGGGUUCAAUACCCCGCAUCUCCA